rnacentral:rRNA from 1 species
GACGAACGCUGGCGGCGUGCUUAACACAUGCAAGUCGAACGGAAAGGCCCUGCUUUUGUGGGGUGCUCGAGUGGCGAACGGGUGAGUAACACGUGAGUAACCUGCCCUUGACUUUGGGAUAACUUCAGGAAACUGGGGCUAAUACCGGAUAGGAGCUCCUGCUGCAUGGUGGGGGUUGGAAAGUUUCGGCGGUUGGGGAUGUACUCGCGGCUUAUCAGCUUGUUGGUGGGGUAGUGGCUUACCAAGGCUUUGACGGGUAGCCGGCCUGAGAGGGUGAACGGCCACCUUGGGACUGCGAUACGGACCAGACGCCUACGGGAGGCAGCAGUGGGGAAUAUUGCACAAUGGGCGGAAGCCUGAUGCAGCAACGCCGCGUGCGGGAUGACGGCCUUCGGGUUGUAAACCGCUUUCGCCUGUGACGAAGCGUGAGUGACGGUAAUGAGUAAAGAAGCACCGGCUAACUACGUG